rnacentral:tRNA from 1 species
UGAGUCCUCAAAAACUCUUCAAA